rnacentral:misc_RNA from 1 species
UAUUUUUUGUCUGCCAACCACUUAAAAACACACACAACAUAUAUAUAUAUAUACAUGUUCAGAAUAAAAUCUUUUCCUUCUGCUUCGAAGUCUCAAUAACGCCAUCAUGCUUUCAACAUCAGCCUGGCGCAGCAUUUCGCGUAGUCCUUUACGAUGGUAUAUGCUAUCAUCCAAAGCUGGUUACGCGGGGAUACCAGCUCCUAUAACGAACCCUGACAUCGCUCAGUCUAAGAUUUUUAUAAACAACGAAUUUGUGAAUUCCGCCAGUGGCAAAACAUUUCAAACUUUGAACCCAUCCAAUGGAGAUGUCAUUUGUGAAGUUGCUGAAGGAGAUAAGGCAGAUAUUGACAAAGCAGUGGCUGCUGCCAAAGAUGCUUUCAGACUGGGAUCACCAUGGAGAAGAAUGGAUGCCUCAGACCGUGGCAAUUUAAUGUACAAACUGGCAGAUUUAAUUGAAAGAGACAAGAAUUACAUUGCGUCUUUAGAAACUCUUGAUAAUGGUAAAACCUACACCCAGUCUUACCUUGUUGAUGUUGCUGCUGUUGUUAAUACUUACAGAUAUUAUGCUGGCUGGGCUGACAAAAACCAUGGAAAAACUAUUCCUAUCCGUGGAGACCACUUCACCUACACAAGACAUGAACCUGUUGGAGUCUGUGGACAAAUUAUUCCUUGGAACUUCCCUUUGUUGAUGCAAGCAUGGAAGCUUGGACCUGCCCUGGCUCUAGGAAACACAGUUGUGAUGAAAACAGCUGAGCAGACACCCCUCAGUGCUCUUUAUAUUGCACAGCUUGCUGUAGAGGCUGGUUAUCCUCCUGGUGUUCUGAAUAUUGUCCCUGGCUAUGGGCCAACAGCUGGAGCUGCUCUUGCUAAACACAUGGAUGUUGAUAAAAUUGCUUUUACUGGUUCUACUGAAAUUGGGAAAAUUGUUUCAGUCAUGGCCACAGAGAGUAAUUUAAAAAGAGUAACUUUGGAACUUGGUGGUAAAAGUCCAAAUAUAGUAUUUGCUGAUGCCAAUAUGGAUCUUGCUGUUGAGACUUGCCACCUCGGUCUGUUCUUCAACCAAGGUCAGUGUUGCUGUGCCGGUUCCAGAAUAUUUGUAGAGGAAAAGGUCUACGAUGAAUUUGUUGAACGCAGUGUUGAGCGAGCUAGACGGAAAGUAGUUGGAGAUCCUUUUGAUCGUUCUUCUGAACAAGGUCCACAGGUUGACCAGGAACAACUGACAAAGAUCCUUUCUCUGAUUGAAAGUGGUAAACAAGAAGGAGCAAAACUAUGUACAGGUGGUGCCAGACAUGGUGAUAAAGGGUAUUUCUUGCAGCCAACUGUAUUUGCUGAUGUACAAGAUAACAUGAGGAUUGCCCAAGAAGAAAUCUUUGGUCCAGUAAUGCAGAUAAUGAAAUUCCGUGAUAUGAACGAGUUAAUUGAGAGGGCUCACAACACCAUAUAUGGCUUGGCUGCUGCUGUUAUGACAACAGAUCUUGACAAAGCACUUCACAUAUCAAACUCACUCAGAGCAGGAACUGUUUGGGUCAACUGCUUUGAUGUUUUGGAUACUGCUGCACCUUUUGGUGGCUACAAGAUGUCAGGAAAUGGACGAGAACUUGGAGAAUAUGGACUUGAAAAUUACACUGAAGUGAAAACUGUUACCAUUAAAGUGCCUCCGAAGAAUUCUUAAAUUGAAGUUUUGCAGACUCAAAAAUACAAGCAACUUCUACGUAUUCAUAAAUUUUCUUUCUCUCUCUCUCACACAUAUAUAAAGUGUGUGUGUGUGUAUAUGUUCAAAAAUGCAAUAAAAACCUUCUCAAAAGGAACAAAUUUUAGUAGGAAUACUUGCACACAGAUAUAAUGAACUGAAAAAUGGGUGUUUAAUGUGUAUUGAUAGUGUGUGGAAUAUUCAAUUGUCUGCAGAAGAUAAAUGAAUAUAUAUGGUCGCACACAUAUAUUUUUUUUAUUAUAUUUUUCUCCUUAAGAAAUCCUACAGAAUAUCUCUGUAGAAUAAUCAUGUAUUACAAGAAAUAAAGAGCUUAUACUUUUUA